rnacentral:rRNA from 1 species
UACGUAGGGUGCAAGCGUUGUCCGGAAUUAUUGGGCGUAAAGAGCGUGUAGGCGGCCCGGUAAGUCCGCUGUGAAAGUCCAGGGCUCAACCCUGGGAUGCCGGUGGAUACUGUCGGGCUCGAGUCCGGAAGAGGAGUGUGGAAUUCCUGGUGUAGCGGUGAAAUGCGCAGAUAUCAGGAGGAACACCAAUGGCGAAGGCAGCACUCUGGGACGUGACUGACGCUGAGACGCGAAAGCGUGGGGAGCGAACAGG